rnacentral:lncRNA from 1 species
GUUUUGACUGGAAAAGCUGGUUUUAAACACUGACAUUAUGAAUGCUUGGGAUAAGCCAUUGAAAUGGCUGCAGACUUAAUUGGACUAAUGACCCAUUGCUGUUAUGCACAACACUCUGUUAUUCACAGAAAAUUGACAAAGCCGUGGAAACGGUCCACAAAUAUGAACCCAGGCACAAAGGCUUCUGCUCUAGAACUCCCUUCUUCUUACUCCUGAAAUGUUGGAUGAUGCUAUGGGAAACAGAUGAGUUUGUCCAGGGAACCAUGUGGAGUACGAACAGAGGGAAGGCAAGAAAGGAACUCGUCAAACGGAUCGAAGAUAAGAGAUGGAUGGGCCCGGGACAUCUUCCCCAGUGGCUCUUGUCCACGGGACACCUGGCUUGUACCCACAGAAAGUUGGCUUCCAGCCAUGCUUGAGUGAGAACAGUGAGGGCCCUUGCCUUCCUACAGUGAGUACUCGAUAAAUGAUCACUGCCAUUGUCACAUAAUAAUGUGGCUAUUAUGAUCAUGGACAGAGCAAAAAUAAGUGACUAUUUUUCAAGAGUCUAUUUGGUGUAGACUUCUCCAGAGGCAGAACUGUGGAAUAAAAUUAUUUCUAGUGGUCCCUCCCAGCCCCUUGGCUCCAUAAUUCUCCCACUUUAAUAUGUGACUAGUAAUUAAGAACUAUCUUGAAAUUUUGAUUU